GGGGGUGUACCGGUUUCGACGGGGGUAUUGAUAUGCGGUAAGCGGGCGGUGGCGCCUGGCCACCAUAAAACGGGCACCUUAAAAUUAAAGGACAACUCUACUGAGCUUGUCGCUGCCUAAGUAAAGGCAGCCGUCUGACCCGGAAGGACCGCGGUCCGGGAUUUCAGGCGUCGAUCAGCGGUGAACAUGAGUGCGCUAAGCUUUGCGCGCACCAUGCACAAUGAAGCUACUGAACCUGCAGGUUUGGCCUUUCACCUGCAGGGGAGGGAAUGACAAAGAAUGGCCUGCGCCCGGAGAAAGCCGCACGGAUGUGCUUUCGGACAGGGGUUCGACUCCCCUCACCUCCACCA
rnacentral:tmRNA from 2 species